rnacentral:ncRNA from 1 species
UUUUCCCCAGGAUAGCUGGCGCUCGAAGUCUCGCAGAUUCAUCUGGUAAAGCGAAUGAUUAGAGGUCUUGGGGCCGAAACGAUCUCAACCUAUUCUCAAUCUUUAAAUGGAUAAGGUGCCCGGGCGUGGAAUGCGAGCCA